rnacentral:rRNA from 1 species
UACGUAGGGGGCAAGCGUUGUCCGGAAUUAUUGGGCGUAAAGAGCGCGUAGGCGGUCCGAUAAGUCGGCUGUGAAAGUCAGGGGCUCAACCCUUGGAAGCCGGCCGAUACUGUCGGACUAGAGUCCGGAAGAGGCGAGUGGAUUUCCCGGUGUAGCGGUGAAAUGCGCAGAUAUCGGGAGGAACACCAAUGGCGAAGGCAGCUCGCUGGGACGGUACUGACGCUGAGGCGCGAAAGCGUGGGGAGCAAACAGG